AAAUCAUGAUGAGGAUAUCUUAAAAGCUUUCCAAACCACUCCCAUGCCUCAAACAAGGAUUAUGCUUCGUAUUGUUGGAAGCAACAUAUCUCCAUCAUGAGUUU